CCCAUUCAGAGCACAAAACAAACCCCAAAGUGAUCUCUCUUUUUAGAUAUCCAUGGCGACAUACUCACAUAUGUUUAUCACCCUUGCCAUCCUCCUUUGUAUUCUCAGUGCCCACUUCCAAGCCCAAGGUAUGUAUAGACAUUGUAUUUGUUGGAGUUACUAGAUCUACAAAAAGAAGUGUGCUUUUACCAGAUUUGUAUCAACCUUACGGCAAUAUAGACAUAAUAAGGCCCUGAAUAUUUGGUUAAAAUACGCCUCGUGCAAAUACUAGGUACUGUCGUCUACAUAUCCGCUACUAGUACGAAAAUCUCAAGUUUUAACAUCUUGUAUGAUCUAUUAUAUAUACUACUAAUAAUAGCCUAAAAGGCCGAGCAAAACCUACUAGUACGUACUAUACAGGCUGACAAAGUCUGAACCGAUGGUUAUUCACAUGUUCCUCAAUGUUCAUAAAGUUUCGUAAUCACUUACCAUUUAUUGCUUAAGAAAUCUAACCUUUUUUUUAUUUAUUAAGCAUGAAUAUAUCUACUUAAGCGUAUGGUAAGUGAUGACUUUAUGAACAUUGAUGGAGUAGAAAAAGUCAUUGUGUGUGUGUGUGACUAAUUGCAUGUGUACCAGAACAAAAAUCACUAAAUAUUUAAUAUUUCUUAUGCUAUUUAUUUAUGGAUAAUUGAAUAUCCAUUCAAAUAGUAAAAUAGUUAUAGGGUUGAUAACCGUGUUGCCAAGCCACCCUUUCAAUGAUAACUUACCUAGGCUCAGCGAACCAACCUGUGGUUGGAUGGUUAGUGGGACUGUGUUAUCCUCAACCCACCAGGGUUCAAAACCUAAUGCUCGCAUUUACUCCUGGAUUUAUUUUAGGAUUUCCGGCUAUGCGCAUUCAGUGGGAGGAGACGUUCUCGUCAACGACGAGGUGCCUUCGGUGACUUCGUAAAUUUCAAGAUGAUAUGCCGGCUCAAUAUUUCGGAGGUGCUCAUAGGAGUAGGGUGUGCAUUUGUGCGUUCAUAGGGUGAGUGUAUGCGCGUGUAUAUGAGCGCUUGUAUCUUUAUUGAUGUUAAAAAAAACUAACCUAGGCUCAAAGUGUUAAAUGUUGCAUGGGUCCAUGCGUACGUGUGUCCCCUAAAAUGGAUUAUAUAUAAUUGCAAAUAUUUUUAGUAAAUGAAAUGGAGUUUUGUUGGUUGGACUUAUGAGUUCUUAUUUAGAUUCUCAUGCUAUAAAAAGUGAUGUCACUGCCCUUUGUCGUUAUUUUCAAUUAAACAUAAAUAUAUGAUGUUUAUGAUGAACAGGAGCAACAGAAAACAUUGCAACUGAUAACUCAGUGCGCGACAGGAAGACAAUUUUGCAAGGGACUUACUUACCUCAAACAACUGUUUCAAGAAGGUGCCAACCAUGCAAUACUUGUCCACAAAAAACUUGCUGCUACGAGAUAACUUGUAAUGGUCUCACUUGCGGCUUUCGUAGCCUGUAUUGUGGCUGUGAUAUUAAAACAUGCAAUCGUAACUUUUAAUACAUAUUUUUGCUUAUGAAAAUAUAUGGGAAUAAAGCAUGAUAGUUUGUAAUAAAAAUGUUUUAAAAUUGAGUCUCAGGUAUGAGUAAAAGAAGUAGAUGUCCU
rnacentral:lncRNA from 1 species